GGACUACCGGGGUAUCUAAUCCUGUUUGCUCCCCACGCUUUCGUGCCUGAACGUCGGUGCUGGACCAGGAAGCCGCUUUCGCCACUGGUGUUCCUCCAGAUAUCUACGCAUUUCACCGCUACACCUGGAAUUCCGCUUCCCUCUUCCGCACCCUAGCAGAGCAGUCUCGAAUGCCAUUCCCAGGUUGAGCCCGGGGCUUUCACAUCCGACUUACGCUACCGUCUACGCACGCUUUACGCCCAGUAAUUCCGAUUAACGCUCGCACCCUCUGUAUUACCGCGGCUGCUGGCAC
rnacentral:rRNA from 1 species